rnacentral:lncRNA from 1 species
CGGUCCACGUCGGACGCGUACCGCCGUCCCUCCCACGGGUCGUCGCCUCUCGAGGCUCCGCCCCCCGCGAUGGUGAGGAUGUCCCCUAUGGUCUCGUCCGCUGGCUCCUGCUUCGGCGCCUGGUGUCCCGUGGGUAUUACCGUCGGGCGGUUUGUCGUCGGGGCUUGGGGGGCUCCGUUCGCGGGCUUCAUUUUGCUGAGGAC